CCUACGGGAGGCAGCAGUGGGGGAUAUUGCACAAUGGGGGAAACCCUGAUGCAGCGACGCCGCGUGGGUGAAGAAGUAUUUCGGUAUGUAAAGCCCUAUCAGCAGGGAAGAAAGAAGACGGUACCUGACUAAGAAGCCCCGGCUAACUACGUGCCAGCAGCCGCGGUAAUACGUAGGGGGCGAGCGUUAUCCGGAUUCACUGGGUGUAAAGGGAGCGUAGACGGCCGUGCAAGCCAGGAGUGAAAGCCCGGGGCCCAACCCCGGGACUGCUCUUGGAACUGUGCGGCUGGAGUGCGGGAGGGGCAGGCGGAAUUCCUGGUGUAGCGGGGAAAUGCGUAGAGAUCAGGAGGAACACCGGCGGCGAAGGCGGCCUGCUGGACCGCGACUGACGUUGAGGCUCGAAAGCGUGGGGAGCGAACAGGAUUAGAUACCCGGGUAGUC
rnacentral:rRNA from 1 species